rnacentral:rRNA from 1 species
UAACACGUGAGUAACCUGCCCUUGACUCUGGGAUAAGCCUGGGAAACUGGGUCUAAUACCGGAUACGACCAUCUGGCGCAUGUCAUGGUGGUGGAAAGCUUUUGUGGUUUUGGAUGGACUCGCGGCCUAUCAGCUUGUUGGUGGGGUAAUGGCCUACCAAGGCGACGACGGGUAGCCGGCCUGAGAGGGUGACCGGCCACACUGGGACUGAGACACGGCCCAGACUCCUACGGGAGGCAGCAGUGGGGAAUAUUGCACAAUGGGCGCAAGCCUGAUGCAGCGACGCCGCGUGAGGGAUGACGGCCUUCGGGUUGUAAACCUCUUUCAGUAGGGAAGAAGCGAAAGUGACGGUACCUGCAGAAGAAGCGCCGGCUAACUACGUGCCAGCAGCCGCGGUAAUACGUAGGGCGCAAGCGUUAUCCGGAAUUAUUGGGCGUAAAGAGCUCGUAGGCGGUUUGUCGCGUCUGCUGUGAAAGACCGGGGCUCAACUCCGGUUCUGCAGUGGGUACGGGCAGACUAGAGUGCAGUAGGGGAGACUGGAAUUCCUGGUGUAGCGGUGAAAUGCGCAGAUAUCAGGAGGAACACCGAUGGCGAAGGCAGGUCUCUGGGCUGUAACUGACGCUGAGGAGCGAAAGCAUGGGGAGCGAACAGGAUUAGAUACCCUGGUAGUCCAUGCCGUAAACGUUGGGCACUAGGUGUGGGGGACAUUCCACGUUUUCCGCGCCGUAGCUAACGCAUUAAGUGCCCCGCCUGGGGAGUACGGCCGCAAGGCUAAAACUCAAAGGAAUUGACGGGGCCCGCACAAGCGGCGGAGCAUGCGGAUUAAUUCGAUGCAACGCGAAGAACCUUACCAAGGCUUGACAUGAACCGGAAAGA